rnacentral:rRNA from 1 species
UAGGGGUCGACGGACGGUUAACGUUAACGGUAACGGUUAACUUACGGGUCGGGUAAACGGUAACGGCCGACUAGUCGACGGUAGGGUUUGGUUUAAGUACGUAGAGUGUGAAAAGCCCCGGGGCUCAAACCUCGGAAUAGCAUUUGAAACUGGCAGACUAGAGUAUGUAGAGGGGGGUAGAAUUUCAGGUGUAGCGGUGAAAAUGCGUAGAGAUCUGAAGGAAUACCGGUGGCGAAGGCGGCCCCCUGGACAGAUACUGACACUCAGAUGCGAAAGCGUGGGGAGCAAACAGGAUUAGAUACCCUGGUAG